rnacentral:rRNA from 1 species
UGGGGAAUUUUGGACAAUGGGCGAAAGCCUGAUCCAGCAAUGCCGCGUGUGUGAAGAAGGCCUUCGGGUUGUAAAGCACUUUUGUCCGGAAAGAAAUCCUUGGCUCUAAUACAGUCGGGGGAUGACGGUACCGGAAGAAUAAGCACCAGCUAACUACGUGCCAGCAGCCGCGGUAAUACGUAGGGUGCAAGCGUUAAUCGGAAUUACUGGGCGUAAAGCGUGCGCAGGCGGUUUGCUAAGACCGAUGUGAAAUCCCCGGGCUCAACCUGGGAACUGCAUUGGUGACUGGCAGGCUAGAGUAUGGCAGAGGGGGGUAGAAUUCCACGUGUAGCAGUGAAAUGGCGUAGAGAUGUGGAGGAAUACCGAUGGCGAAGGCAGCCCCCUGGGCCAAUACUGACGCUCAUGCACGAAAGCGUGGGGAGCAAACAGGAUUAGAUACCCUGGUAGUCCACGCCCUAAAGCGAUGUCAACUAGUUGUUGGGGAUUCAUUUCCUUAGUAACGUAGCUAACGCGUGAAGUUGACCGCCUGGGGAGUACGGUCGCAA